UUUCUAAAUUGUUUCUAAAUUGAUCUGGUUUUCUAGUUGUUUGAAUUGUGUCAGCUCUCUUUUAUUUGCUUUUUAUAUAUGUCGGAUUUAUUUCAGUAGGAUGGGAAUGAGGUUUAUGAUUUUUUUUUUUUUUUUUAAUAUGGGUCUCAAAGUUGCAGAGCUCUGAUGUUACUUGUAGAAUUGCUUCAUUUGAGUGUAUGCCAGCAAAUUUCUUUGUAUGCGUACGUGAGAAGUAGUGGGGAUGUGCAUGUGGUUGAUACCUAGAUGGGUGGUGGACUUGUGGGUUGUAGCGGAGGACAUUUUGGUAGAAAUUGUAGUAUUGCUAUAUGGAAUGCUGUUCAAUAUGGGUUGUGAGGUGCCUUGUAAACAUUGCUGUUCAUUGUGGGUAACUAUGGACUUGGGAGCCCUAAUUUUAGCGUUUAUGGACUCGACUGUGGACCUAAAUGAGUAACUAUAACAAGUUGGGGGUAAAAUCGAGAAACAUUGCCUCAUAAUUUCAAAAUUAACGGUUACAAUUUCUGAGACUUGUCCUCCUAUUCGCGCUUAUGUCCUCUACUAUAUAAACAAACCGAACCCACAAAGGGAACCACAAAAAAUUAUUAGCUUUCAAUCAUCAACAACUUAAAGAAAACGAGGAAAGAUCCCACGGCCCAUGUGAAGCUCUAUACCUAUUUGAUGAGUGAAAAUAUUUGUAGAUUAUUAAUUGAUGGCCUCAAUGCAUAAAUACGGGUUGGAUUUACUGUUGGGAUUUCGGUAAUUGCAUAUUCAAGAGAGCAACAUGAAAAGGCUGGUGAAGAGCAGGGUUUGAAGGAGAGUUUGAUGCUCUAUAACUCUUAGAGCCAAUAGACUCAGCAAGCCCCAUAAUUUGACAAAUUCAUGUACCCCAUCAUUUACUGGGUUUUGCCAUGUAUAUUAUGUGUCUCAAUUGGGCAAUUUAUCUUUUGUCAUUCUUUAUUUGAUAGAUUUAAUAUGAUAAUCUUUUAAGUUAGGCUCUAGCUUCGUGGAUACGUAUGAUGUGCAAAUUUUGUGAGUAAAUAGUAAAUCUUCAUUUUUUUUUUUU